UACAGAGGUCCCAAGCGUUGUCCGGAAUUAUUGGGCGUAAAGAGCGUGUAGGCGGCCAGAUAAGUCCGCUGUGAAAUCUCGAGGCUCAACUUCGAGCUGUCGGUGGAAACUAUCUGGCUAGAGUCCGGAAGAGGAGAAUGGAAUUCCUGGUGUAGCGGUGGAAUGCGCAGAUAUCAGGAGGAACACCAAUGGCGAAGGCAGCACUCUGGGACGUGACUGACGCUGAGACGCGAAAGCGUGGGGAGCAAACAGG
rnacentral:rRNA from 1 species